GAGAGAGAGAUAGAUAUUGGAGAGAGGGGAGGGGAAGCCAGGGACUGGAAAGGAACUCAUGUUAAUUUAAAAGUGUGCUUCUCAGUUCUGAGCAUGCUCAGUGGGGCUCGGCUCUGCUCUACCAGGUCCAGCCUCUAAAUUUGAACAGGAGAGUUGUGAGGUGACUGUGUCCGAGCAGACUUUUGUGCCACACAUUCUCUGUCUCUGUCAUGCUCUCUCGCCGCACAGCUCUCUCCUUUCGUUUUCUUUGCCCCUUUUGUUUUGGCGUGGAGAGAUAGCCGAGGAAGGAAGACUAGACAAAACAGCUGAAAGAAGCAAGAAAAUGAAGAGAAGAAAAUGAACAGACUAACUUUGCCUCCGAAACAGUGGAUCUGGAGGGACUAACUUCAAAAGAAAGGCAAGAGGGAGCUGGUGUGAAGUAUGAGCAGGAAGGAGAGAUGAGAAACCCGUGGUCUUCUGAUAAGGAACCAGAGACAGUAUCCAUAGAAGCCAAUGAGUGGAAGAGAGCAGCCUCACAUGAUCAUUAGCACCACUUCUGGACUAUGCUGUACUCUAGAGGCUGUGGACUGUGUAGAGACUGAGAGACGAGUGGAGGCAGGUCAGUGCAUGUUCUCUCUAUUCCCACUGUUUGAGUGCCCUUUGAGAGGAUGUCAUCAUUUUGUUCCAGUAUAUGAUAAUAUGGCUAGGAUCAUGAUAUCCAGGCCUACUCUGAAACACUCUGUGACUUUGUUUUCCCUACUUUGAUUCAUACUCAGUAUUAUUCUGCCUUAUGCGCUUUCCGACUGUACAUACAAUGUAUUGUAAAGUUAUGUGAGGUUUUCUCAGAAAUACUAUAUGUCAGCAAUUGAAAUGACUAGGUAAAGGGAAUUACUGUAUUCCAAUCAGAUGUGGGUCACCUGUUUACCAUGACCAAACAUUACAGAAGAGCUGAAAGUCAUGCAUCCUUCUGUUCAGUUCCAUUGAAACACAAAACCUAAGUUUCCAGUCCAAAACCCUUCUCAAACCCUUCCAACGCCUUGUCCACAAGGAGGUCUCUAGUCCUGUUGUAUGUGGAUUGAGGACACAACCCUCUUUCUCUCUCUCUCUCUCUCUCUCUCUCUC